GCUGGAAUAUCUCAAUUGGUUAGAGCGUGUGGCUCUUAACCAUAAGGUCGGAAGUUCGAGACCUCCCUCUAGCG